AUUGAACGCUAGCGGGAUGCUUUACACAUGCAAGUCGAACGAGUGGCGGACGGGUGAGUAAUAUAUCGGAACGUGCCCAGUAGCGGGGGAUAACUACUCGAAAGAGUGGCUAAUACCGCAUACCAUCGGAUGUGCCCAGAUGGGAUUAGCUAGUAGGUGGGGUAAAGGCUCACCUAGGCGACGAUCCCUAGCUGGUCUGAGAGGAUGACCAGCCACACUGGAACUGAGACACGGUCCAGACUCCUACGGGAGGCAGCAGUGGGGAAUAUUGCACAAUGGGCGCAAGCCUGAUGCAGCCAUGCCGCGUGUAUGAAGAAGGCCCUAGGGUUGUAAAGUACUUUCAGUCGGGAGGCGUUACCGACAGAAGAAGCACCGGCUAACUCCGUGCCAGCAGCCGCGGUAAUAC
rnacentral:rRNA from 1 species